UGGAUUUUUUCAAAAAGUUUCAAACACAUAUUUUUUCUCUAAAUUUAGAAAGUGGUUACACCAGUACCCAGGAUCAUUCAAACGAUCAUAUUAUUUUACAGAAAAUCACAUAUGCAAGUUUUCGGGCAUCUAAACAACCUCUAAAAUGUAACUGUGGUACCACGUGAUCUUUUUUUUAAUGUAAGGAUACCAGUUAAUACAAUAAUUAUCCCCUAAAAAAGUUAAUAUACAAAUUAAAGUAUACCAAAACUAGGAAGAAACCAUUGAUGCAGAAAAGGAUAAAGGGUACCUUCAGAAGGGCAAUAUCAAGAGAAAAGUACUACUAAUAGCAAGCCAGUCUUGAUCAUGGCACUUAUCAAGAACAAGACACACAUUGUCUGCUUUGUUGCUCUUCUGCUGAUGUCUACCACCCUUUUGUGUCUUCCUGCACCAUUUUGUGUCUUCCUGCAGCAGCAGGGAGGGACAUAGGUACCAAGGCUGCAUUUGGAAAGCCAUGUUUCACUAUAUCAGUGUGUGUGUGGACUCAUAUCAGUAUGCCUUUUAUACCUGCAACAAAGAGUGUAGAAAACUUGGCUAGGACUGGUACAAAGGCGAUUGCAAGAAGGAGAAUGGUGGCAUAUAAUGCUGUCUUCCUCCCUCCCUAAAGUGGUAGUCAUGCUAUACACUAUCAUGUUAUAUAAAAUCAUUGCAAGUAAUUUCAAUAAACUUUACUGGUAGUUGCUUGAAA